rnacentral:rRNA from 1 species
UACAGAGGGGGCAAGCGUUAUUCGGAAUCAUUGGGCGUAAAGCGCGUGUAGGCGGUCCGGUAAGUCCGCUGUGAAAGUCGGGGGGCUCAACCCUCGGAAGCCGGUGGAUACUGUCGGGCUCGAGUACGGAAGAGGGUCGCGGAAUUCCCGGUGUAGAGGUGAAAUGCGCAGAUAUCAGGAAGAACACCGAUGGGCGAAGGCAGCUCUCUGGGACGGUACUGACGCUGAGACGCGAAAGCGUGGGGAGCGAACAGG